UACGGAGGGUGCAAGCGUUGUCCGGAUUUAUUGGGUUUAAAGGGUGCGUAGGUGGCUUUGUAAGUCAGUGGUGAAAUCUCGGAGCUUAACUCCGCAACUGCCAUUGAUACUGCUUAGCUUGAAUCAAGUAGAGGUGGAUGGAAUAUUACAUGUAGCGGUGAAAUGCUUAGAUAUGUAAUAGAACACCGAUUGCGAAGGCAGUUCACUAUGCUUGUAUUGACACUGAGGCACGAAAGCGUGGGGAUCAAACAGG
rnacentral:rRNA from 1 species